rnacentral:misc_RNA from 1 species
AUGAAGAACGCAGCGAAACGCGAUAUGUAAUGUGAAUUGCAGAAUUCAGUGAAUCAUCGAAUCUUUGAACGCACAUGGCGCCUUCCAGUAUCCUGGGAGGCAUGCCUGUCCGAGCGUCGUUUCAACCCUCGAGCCCUCGUGGCCCGGCGUUGGGGAUCUGCCACGGCAGGCCCCGAAAUACAGUGGCGGACCCGUUAGGCCCUUCCUUUGCGUAGUAGCAUCAGCCUCGCAUCGGGAGCCGGCGGGCUCUCCUGCCUCUAAACCCCCCAACAAGCCCGCUCCGGCGGCACCAAGGUUGACCUCGGAUCAGGUAGGAAUACCCGCUGAACUUAAGCAUAUCAAUAAGCGGAGGA